UGGGCUUAAGGAGGGCAAUGGGGUCAAUGGGGUCUUAAUGGGGUCACAGUGGGUUUCAAUGGGAUCUGAGUGGGGUUAUUGGGGUCAUUGGGGUCAAUGGGGGCAAUGGGGUCCCAAUGGGGUCAGUGGUGUCUUAAUGGUGUCCCAAUGGGGUCAGUGGGGUCUUAAUGGGGUCCCAAUGGGGUCCCAAUGGGGUCAAUGGGGUCUUAAUGGGGUCCCAAUGGGGUCAAUGGGGUUGAAUGAGGUCCCAAUGGUGUCCCAAUGGGGUUAAUGGGGUCUUAAUGGGGUCCCAAUGGGGUCAGUGGGGUCUUAAUGGGGUCCCAAUGGGGUCCCAAUGGGGUCAUUGGGGUCAAUGGGGGCAAUGGUGUCCCAAUGGGGUCAAUGGGGU
ensembl:lncRNA